UACGGGAAGCAGCAGUGGGGAAUAUUGGACAAUGGGCGAAAGCCUGAUCCAGCCAUGCCGCAUGAGUGAAGAAGGCCUUCGGGUUGUAAAGCUCUUUUAGUGAGAAAGAUAAUGACGGUACUCACAGAAGAAGUCCUGGCUAACUCCGUGCCAGCAGCCGCGGUAAUACGGAGAGGGCUAGCGUUAUUCGGAAUUAUUGGGCGUAAAGAGCGCGUAGGCUGAUUAGUAAGUUAAAAGUGAAAUCCCAAAGCUUAACUUUGGAAUUGCUUUUUAAAACUGCUAGUCUAGAGAUUGAAAGAGGAUAGAGGAAUUCCUAGUGUAGAGGUGAAAUUCGUAAAUAUUAGGAGGAACACCAGUGGCGAAGGCGUCUAUCUGGUUCAAAUCUGACGCUGAGGCGCGAAGGGCGUGGGGAGCAAACAGGGAUUAGAUACC
rnacentral:rRNA from 1 species